UUUCUUGGGCCGCCGCAGAGCGCGGUAAUUCCAGCUCCAAUAGCGUAUAUUAAAGUUGUUGCAGUUAAAAAGCUCGUAGUUGAAACUUGGGCCUGGCUGGCGGGUCCGCCUCACCGCGUGCACUCGUCCGGCCGGGCCUUCCUUCUGAAGAACCUCAUGCCCUUCACUGGGCGUGCUGGGGAAUCAGGACUUUUACUUUGAAAAAAUUAGAGUGUUCAAAGCAGGCCUUUGCUCGAAUACGUUAGCAUGGAAUAAUAAAAUAGGGCGUGCGUUUCUAUUUUGUUGGUUUCUAGAGACGCCGCAAUGAUUAACAGGAACAGUCGGGGGCAUCAGUAUUCAGUUGUCAGAGGUGAAAUUCUUGGAUUUACUGAAGACUAACUACUGCGAAAGCAUUUGCCAAGGAUGUUUUCAUUAAUCAGUGAACGAAAGUUAGGGGAUCGAAGACGAUCAGAUACCGUCGUAGUCUUAACCGUAAACUAUGCCGACUAGGGAUCGGGCGAUGUUCUUUUUCUGACUCGCUCGGCACCUUACGAGAAAUCAAAGUUUUUGGGUUCUGGGGGGAUUAUGGUCGCAAGGCUGAAACUUAAAGAAAUUGACGGAAGGUCACCACCAGGCGUGGAGCCUGCGGCUUAAUUUGACUCAACACGGGGAAACUCACCAGGUCCAGAUGAAAUAAGGAUUGACAGAUUGAGAGCUCUUUCUUGAUUUUUCAGGUGGUGGUGCAUGGCCGUUCUUAGUUCGUGGGGUGACUUGUCUGCUUAAUUGCGAUAACGAGCGAGACCUUACUCUGCUAAAUAGCCAGGCUAACUUUGGUUGGUCGCCGGCUUCUUAGAGAGACUAUCAACUCAAGUUGAUGGAAGUUUGAGGCAAUAACACUUGAUGCGGCCCUCCCUCAAAAAAA
rnacentral:rRNA from 1 species